ACGUAAUACAAAACUUAUGCGAUCGGACCGCACUAACGCAAUCCUUCCUACACUUUCAGAUUCCAAGGAUAUUUUUUGUUCUGUCUCGGCUCCUAGGCGUACGUUCGCCUUCAAAUAUGUCUAUGAUUACGAAUAUUCAUUGAAGUGAGACGUUUACGAAUUUUCCUCACUAUCUUAAAAUUCUUUUAUUAUAAUUAGUUAUUCUUUAUAAAUAUUUUGUAGUGUCGAAUAAAUCAUUUUUUUAAAAAGAGUUCGGCCUUCUCACUUCUAACAGUGCGUUGGAUACGAAAUUAUAAAGAUUUGACAAAGAUAAUCAUUAUGCCUUUUGUUUUUAAUUGCUCUUGUAGGUAGACGAGCAUUCGGCCCGUCUGAUGCCGAGUGCUUACUGGCGCUCGUGGUCAUCAGCAAUACCCGAGGCAGAGCCAAGCCGUUGCUUACCGCAAUUUUUUUUUACUAUAUUUUAAUACCGCAAAUUAAUUUAACUAAAGCCUCAAGAUUAAUUAAAAAUAUAUUUUAUUAAUUAUAUAUUACUUGAUUUUGUAUCGACAUAUUGAUGCACAAAAUUACCUAUACGCUCUUUACUUGUUUCCAUUUAAAAAAAACUUGUCUAUGAAGCAAAUUGUCUAUUAAAUUGGCAUUACGGUCCCAUUGACAGGCCAUAAAUUAAACAAAAAAAUAAUAAUUACAGGAUCCUUAAUUUUGAAUGUUUGCACUCAAAACAAACAACAUUUUAUUCGACAACACAUUCCCUUAUCGAACAGACGAUACGCGAGACGAAAAUAGCUACACGCUAACCACAAUCGGAUGUGUCAUGCAAUACUUCGUCAUCUCGAGGGGUCAUACUAGAUUGACCGGAAGAGUUAAAUGUGCUCAAGAAGAAGAAUCUACCAUCAGUGUGCUUAGUGCGAGUUUUUUACGUCCUUGAUAGCGUAAAAGUUAACUCAAAUUUGUAUAGAGUUGGAACGCCUACGUUUGCCGCCAGGGGCGCUGUUCCAACUGCAUACAAGUUUGAGUUAACUUUUACGCUAUCGAGAACGUUAAAACACUCUCACUAAGCACACAGAUCGGAAUCGCGACCCAAGUUUAGUAUAUUUGCUUGUAGCAUUUUUCAGUGACUUGAAGACGUCUGAUUAAAUUGCAAAAAUUUCGCGUAGCCUUUGGGGGUAAUGACGCGAGAAACAACAUUGUGUUAAUUGUUUUAUGUCGUUAAUUUAAUGUUUGUUCCGGUUUAAAUGUGUAUUAAAAAAGUGGUCUAUCAACUA